UUUUUUUUUCCUUGAGUGAGAGUUCUACUUCCUGCCUGUUAUACUUCAGAAGUCUAAUGUACAAGUUGAUGUAAAGAAGCAAGGCUGAACUGAAGCCUUGGUCUAUAAGGUAAGGGAAAGCAUGAUUGCUCAAGAGCUGCUUUGGUAAAGCAGUGUCCUGAGAUUGGUUGGUAUGACUGCUGGGCUUUCGUGACAAUUUUACUGCCUAUAGGUAUAGGGAAAGAAAUCUCUCAGUGGAGUUAACUCCCGCAAGAAAUGUAUUUAUUUGUUUUGAAAUAAUUUAUAUUUAAGAGUACUUUUCCACCAUAUGUCUAUGAAAUGAAGAAACCCACAGCCCCAUUAAAAGGACAUUGAUAGGUAGGUUUAAGGGCAUUAUUACAGCACUCUACCAAUGAGGAAUUCUAGGCUAAAAUUUCAGCAUACUGUGCUUAUUCAUUUUAGAAAUCUGAGCUAAGUUUUUAAAAACAAACAAUGAAAAAACAGGAAUUCCCCUUGAGGUACACUGGAAAUGAAUCUGACUAAGGACCAUGAGGUUGUGGGUUCAAUCCCUGGCCUCACUCAGUGGGUUAAGGAUCCAGCAUUGCCAUGAGCUGUGGUGUAGGGUGCAGACACACCUCAGAUCUGGUGUUGCUAUGGCUGUGGUGUAGGCCAGCAGCUGUAGCUCCAAUUGGACCCUUAACCUGGGAACCUCCAUAUGAGGCAGGUGCAGCCCUAAAAAGACCAAAAAAAAAAAAAAAAACCAAAAACAAAAAACAAAAAAACAAAACCCCAAAUAACAACGAAUUCUGUUCUCAAAUUGAAGAAGAAAAAUAAAAGAAAAAAAAAGAAAGGAAAGGAAAAUAAAAGCAAAGACCCUCCUCAGAGAUAUACAGUGCUUUUGCAGAUUGGUGAAUGUGAAAUGUAAGUGUUCCUGAUUGUAUUAUAAUCAGUAAUAGAAAGCAUAGAGAUUCCAGCAGUGAAACUAUAGAACUGGAAAACACUGUCAAAAAAUAAAUUGAAUUGACAUUUAUAUAACACUCCAGGAAACAAUAGUUGAAUAAACAUUCUUUUAAAUGUACAUGGAGAAUGCACCAAGACAGACUAUUAUUCUAGCUCAAAAACAAACCUAAACAGGAGUUCUCUUGUGGCUCAGUGGGUUAAGGAUCUAGUGUUGUCACUGCAGUGGCUCAGGUCACUACUAUGGUGUGGGUUCAAUCCCUGGCCCAGGAAAUUCUGCAUACUGUGGGUGCAGCAAAAUAGAAAAUGAAAGUUCUGUGGCCAUAACAGCAUUAAACUAAAGAUCAGUAAUAAAAAGAAAAAUUUUUAAUGUCCAAACACUUGGAAAUUUAACACCACAUUUCUAAAUAAAACGUGGGUCAAAGAAGUCUGACUUUCAAACCUUUGGGAUCUACAUUUAGGCAAGGAGUUCUUUGAUGUGGUACUAAAAACAUUAAGUCAUAAAAGAAAAAAAUUAGCAUGUUAAAUAUCCUCAAAAUUAAAAACCUUUGCUCUGUGAAAGAUACUAUAAGGAGAAUUAAAAUAUAGGCUACAGACAUGGAAAAAAUGUUUUCAUAUCAUUUUUCCAACAAAUGACUUAUUGAAUAUAUAAAGAAUUGUUAAAAUUCAGCAAUAAGAAAAGCUCGGUUUAAAAAAAUGGUCAAUGAGUUCCUGUUUUGGCUUGGUGGAAACGAAACCGACCAGUAUCCUUGAGUAUGCAGAUUUGAUCCCUGGCCUGGCUCAGUGGGUCAAGGAUCUAGCGUUGCCAUGAGCUGUGGUGUAGGUCACAGACACGGCUUGGAUCCCACAUUGCUGUGGCUGUGGCAUGGGCAAGUAGCUGUGGCCUAGACUGAAUCCCUAGCUUGGGAAUUUUCAUAUGCUGCAGGUGCAGCCUAAAAAGCAAAAAGUAAAUAAAUAAAUAAAGUCAAAAGAUUUGAGCAGAUAUAUUUUAAAGAACAUAUAUGAACACAUGAAAAGAUAAAUCUUAGGUUUAUUAGUCAUAUGAAUACCCAAGCAAGAUAUUACUGCAUACAUUAGAAUGGCUAAAAACUAAAUGAAACAACAAAAAUCUGACAAUACCAACUGCUGGUAAAAAUGAGUGACAAAAGUUAUUCCCAUAUAUUGCUGAAAGGAAUGUACAAUUCAAAAUGAUACAGCCUCUCUGGAAAACAGUUUGGCAUUUCAAUAAAAAGUUAAAAAUACACUCAAAGUAUGACCCCACACUCAACUUAUAGUAUGCUAAAACAGGAAUUGACAAACUAUGGUUUCUGUGCCAAUUCCUCUCCGUGGCCUGUUUUCCUAUGGCCUGCAAACUGUAAAUAGCUUUUACAUUUUUAAAUUAAAUAAGGAAAAAAAAAGAAGAGAAAAUGAAUGUGUGUGGCCUGCCAAGAGGAAAAUAUUUAUUAUCUCUCCUUUCACACACAGGCAAUAAUUUUGAUAAACAAUUUACUUUCAUGCAAGACCCUAUGCAUGAAGAUGUAUAGCAGCUAUUCAUAAUCACCAAAACUAGAAACAACUCAAAUGUUCUUUAAUAGAUGAGUGAAUAAACAAUGGUGCCACAUCCCUAAAAUAGAAUAGUACACAGCAAGAGGAGGGAACACAUUUUGGUACAACUUUGAUGGAUUCAGAGACAUCAUCGGGGAGGAAUACUAUUCUUGAAAGAUUGCAUACAGUGUAUGAUUCCUUUUAUAUGACAUUCUAGAAAAGGCAAAACUAUAUGGAUGGAAAAUACAUCAGCAGUCUUCAGAGCUUAGUGGUAUAGAGAAAGGAUUACGGAGGGCUAAAAUGAAGGAGUUUUUUUGAGGGGUUAAGAAAGCAUUCUCUAUACUGAUAGGAGAUAUGCUUGUAUGAUUCUAUGUGAGAGUUAACACUCAGAUUGUACGUCAAAAAAAAGUUUACUGAAUAUACAUUUAAAUGAUAGCAAUAUUAAUAAUAAACUCUCCUGAUGAACAAGUAAUUUAUUUUGUGUUGUGGUAAUUAAAAAAAAAAUAUUCCACAUUCCCUCUUGAGCAGGGGACAGGUUCUUAGGUGGAUGAAUGAAAGCAGAUCUUAGGAUGGAAUGGUCCAGCAGCACUUUGUUAAAGAGAAGCUUAAGUAAGAACAGGAGAAUUGAAGAAGUUUAUCCAUGUCUGGCUUAAAUUAGUAAACUAUGGCGUUAGUUAAAAAGAAAAAAAUGUAUAUAGAAGGGUAGAAAGUAUGUUUAAGUUAUGGCUAUCAUAUAAAUUAUCCCAGAUCUGUAUGUUGAGUCCUGGAAAAAUAAGAGUUUGGAGUAGAUUUCUGACAAAACUUGAAAAGUCACUAUUCAAAUACUGACUAUAGAAAUAGUGAUUUGAGUUCCUGCUUUGGUGCAGUGGGUUAAGAAUCCAACUACAAUGUGGCCAUAAUAAACAAAUAAAUAAAUAAGAAGAAAUAGAGAUUAAUCCCAAGGUAUUGCACGUAAAAAGGUACUGAGGCAAAAUAUUAACUCAGGUAGUCAGUAUAGGAACAUGGGCUUCGAUGCAUUCUUUGAUAUGGCCAUUGAUUAACAUUUGUGGUUUAAGGGCUCCAGGGCGUAACAUCCCCAUAGGCCUUGUUUACUACGGGAGCUCACCUAUACCCAGAUGGACAUUAAUCCCUAAUACCCUAUGACUUACUUUAUGGGAAGACAAGGGCAAAGAAACUAUGAGACUUAGGAGACUUACGGGACAUUCCCACCCCUAAGACGCUAUUUGACAAGGACUGAUAUAGGUAAUUGAACAAGGCCAAUGGGAGAAAACCACAUCUUUCUGCAACCCACAUUGGUAAACCUCCUGAUCUUUUAAGGAAUAAAAACCCCUAUGGACAAUAGAGAAAGGGGGUUCGUCUCACCCUUCCCAGCAGCCCUGGGAGCUAUUUGCUUUUCUUCAAUAAAGAUUUUGCUUGUUUGCUUGCUUGCUACCUUUGUGUUCAUGGAGUUCAUUCUUUGACUGCCGUGAACCAGAACCCAGAUUCUGGUAUCAGGUAUCAUCUUUCCAGUACAAGACAGUUUUCUUAGGUGCUGGGAAUGUUCUGUUUAUUGGUCUAAAAUCUCGUUAUUUAGGUACGCUUACAUUAUGCAAUUCAGAUUUAUUUGAGUUGUUCAUUUUAUUAAAGAAGAGGUCUAUAUUUUUCCAUUCACUAUUAUUCAGAAAGUAAUGAGCGGAGGCUUCUUUGUGUUGUUGUGUGCCUUAAAAGAUUAAAGUCCCUGGCAUUGUCCUAAGAGAAUAUUGCUGUCCUUUUUCUUUACAGAGAUUCAAUGCUUUGGUCCCAACAAGCUCCUUGGACUUUGAAUAUAUUUAUAGGAAGAAGAUUGAGAAAAACCCUAUGGUCACUAUGGUCCACUUGCCUAUACUCCUUAUAUACCCUUGGCUAAUUGUAGGUCUUAUAGUCCUUUAUCACAUCUGAAAUGGUAAGUGGAAGCUCCCUCUGUCUUUUGUGUAUUUUAAGAGGAAUUUUAUACACACUUGAGGGUAAAACUCCCUAAGGAAAAGACUUCUAGCUGGCUUUAAAUCACACUCAUCUCUCUCCCUCUCUGUCUGUAUCAUAACUUCUUUUUCUUAAUGUGAAAGUAAAAUCAAGCCUCUACCUUCCUUUAAAAAAAAAAUGCUCUCCUUGUCAUUUCAAUGAGUAAAGUUAAAGAGAUUUAAUAAUGUUCUUUUAAGUGCUUUAGAACACCACAUUUUCCUUGUUCUUCAGUAGUUCUCUUCCUAGAUUUCUUCCUUUGUCAGUGCUUUAAAUUUUACUUUUACUAAUGUCUUCUAAAGCUAAAUAUGAUACCUACAUAAUACAGUCACACCAAGAGCUUUAACUGUGCCGAUGACGCUCAACGUUAUAUUUUCAAAUUAAAUUCAAUUGCUAGCUGUGCCCUAAAUUUCAUACUAUUCCUCCUCUGCACUAAUAGAAUUGAUAGCUUUGCAUUCAGCUUCCAAGUGACACUGAGGGUUGUCACCAGUCAGAGCCAUUAAACUUAAACUUGCUUAAUGACUAAUAAACUAAACCUGCCUUCACUAAUCAAGCCAGCUUUGUUUUUAAACAAACAUUUGCAUAUUCUCUAAGUAGCAUGCAGCCUAAAUAAGAAAAAAUCACACAGUCUUUACUCUCAGGGAGCAGAUAUUCUAAUACAAAAGAAAAGAGAAGUUUAGAAAUAAGUCAACAAAAGAGAGUUCCCAUUGUAGCUCAGCGGGUUAAGACUCAAAAAUAG
rnacentral:lncRNA from 1 species